GGUCGCUUAGUUCAGCUGGUUAGAACGCCUCCCUGUCACGGAGGAGGUCGUGGGUUCGAGUCCCAUAGCGACCGCCA
rnacentral:tRNA from 1 species